CGCCAUCACGCCCCCUCUCUCUUCCUGCCUGCAGCCUGCUGUUAAACCAUGCAAACUGGAGUUGUUUCAUGGAUUUGUCAACAAAGGGACAUCAGCAGUGCUGCUUUCCGCUCUUUUCUGUAUUCGCUCGUCAUAGGCCAUUUAGCGGCGCCCACGCGGGUGAGGAGAAGGAAGAUGAGGAGGAGAGAGAAAAUUGCUCUGCGUGAUUGAACGAUCUGGCGCAAAUGAUCACGAACGCGUGAACACGAUUAACUUUUGCAAAUGUGACGAAAGCCGCAGAAUGCAAUCGACUACGGUUAAGGAUUAGCCGAGGGUGGGAAGAAUAUUGAGCAGCAGCAGCAGCAGCAGCAGCAAUGAAUGAAGAGAAUAACGAAUUUCCGAAGAGUUUUGAAGAGGUGUUAACGACUCCGAUCAUUGCAUGUAUUUACAUUUGAAAACAGAAGGAAAUGCAGCAGCGGGAGAAUGCAGAGACCAUCAUUCAGACACAUGAAGGUGAGCUGCGUGAGAACACGGAGGCAAAAACGGCCUUGAGCUUGACGGCAAACCUUCAAAGGACUAAUAUUUAUCAUUAAAUGCACUCAAUUGUUUUUCGUGACUCCGUGUAUAAUGUAAUUUAACAGGCUUCCAUUGAAGGCCGUUUCGUCGGUUAAUGAAAAUAUCAAUAAUCAUCACAAGUCAAUUGAUAGAGAAAAAAGCGCACAUUGUAAAAGUGAAAGGCACGACAAUUUCCUAUAGUCCUGUAAUAUUGGUAAACGGCAUUUUGUUUUUCUAAAAAAAUAUUACUAAGAAAAUAAAUAUUUAACAGUAUCCUUUUUCACGGUAAUUUUGGUUUAUUGUGAUUGAAUGCAUCGUGAGAAUAUGCAAUUGUAUUUUCAUAUAUUUUCGCUGGUUUUAUUUUUUCCUUUCAUUUUCCCCGAACGUUCAGCGCAUGCAUGCAAGAAGGCAGGCAGGCAGGCAGGCAGUCAGGCAGGCAGGCGCAAUGCCUCGCCGCUGCAUGACACCUCUGUUCAUGGGAUAAAAGUGGGAUUAAUGAAUGAAUAAAACGCUGUCAUUAAUAAGGCUCGCUGGGGUCAGAGGAGAGAAACCUGUGUCUUCCAAUUAAACCUCUCCGGUGUUAAUCUUUGGCCGACCUGUGUGAUCCGAGAGAGCGUCAAUACGAACUACUUAGCAGCAAGCAGUCAACUAUUGAGCAGGAUUCAUUUCAAGAAAACACCCAGGUGUCAUAUUUCUGGUUGCUAUAUUGCAGAUUAUUUACGGUGAUAUCAAUUGCGUGCACUGCUUACGAAUCGGUCAAUUGCAGGGAUAGCAAUUGUGUAAUUCGUUUUCCUCUUUGUUGCAUAGGUGCACGUCGGACUCCUUUACAAUAAUAAUAAUAAUAAAAUAAUAAUAAUAAAAUAAUAAUAAUAAUAAUAAAAGCUGAGUUGCAAUGUAGUGUAAAAAGUGUCUGACUUGCAGCACAGGCGUCCUUCCUGUGAUCUUUUGAAGCCUCAUAAAUCCGCUCUUACACCGCCGCGCGGUUUGUUAAUGAAAUGAUUUAAGCACGUAUGCACGCGGUUUAGCGCGACCAAACCUUUUAGUAUAAUAAGACAGUGUGUUUGUGUGCGCGCGUGUGUCUGUGCGCGUGUGCGUGCACGCGUGUGCGGCUCUGCUGCUGCUGCUGCUGCUGGUGGUGGUGGUGGUGGUGGAGUACAGGUGAUGGAGAGGAAACGUCAUGCGAUCACUGCCAACUAUAUACUGCAAGGUCACCGAACUAAUAAUUGUGAUCAUAAUAACGCGAUGCUCUGUUGAUUUCCGACAGGAGAGUUCCCCCUCUUCUCCCACACACUAACCCUCCCUCGCUUCCACUUUAGAGGGUUCAAAGGUCAGGGUCACUUCCAAAAGGUACCUUAAUGUACGAAAAUGUGCAAUGACACAUGAAAUAAAUGAAUAAAUAAUACAUCAACUUGC